UACGUAGGGGGCAAGCGUUGUCCGGAAUUAUUGGGCGUAAAGAGCGUGUAGGCGGUCCGGUAAGUCAGCUGUGAAAGUCAAGGGCUCAACCCUUGAAUGCCGGUUGAUACUGUCGGGCUAGAGUCCGGAAGAGGCGAGUGGAAUUCCCGGUGUAGCGGUGAAAUGCGCAGAUAUCGGGAGGAACACCAAUAGCGAAGGCAGCUCGCUGGGACGUUACUGACACUGAGGCGCGAAAGCGUGGGGAGCAAACAGG
rnacentral:rRNA from 1 species